GCCGAGCGGCGUCCGGGGGGUUAAGUGGCGACUCUCCUCCCCGGAGGCUGAGCCGGCCGGCAGCGCUCAGGCUGAAGGAGAAAAGAAGAAGGUCAGCAAUGCUGAUGAUAAAAACUAAGAGCAGUGGAAACAAAAGAAACAAGAAGGCGGCAGAAGGCAACUUAAUCUGAAUUAGCCCUAUCCGAUCAAACACUCCAACCCCGGAGGAAGCGCACUGUUGGAGGAACUAAGGAUAAUCCAGCCUGACCUUCAGUUGCAGGACCAGAACUGUGGUGCAGAGAAAACUGCACCCGAUUUAGGAGACCCCAGGGUCUAGGUCUGGGACCAAAUUAAGUUACUAUAGUGAGCAAGUUAUUUUGCCUUUUUUGACACUGUUAGUGUUUUAAACACCUUUGUACAGUUUACUUGGCACUAUAAACGUGAAUUCUGAAGUG